rnacentral:lncRNA from 1 species
UCGGAUGAACAAGUUUGAAUUUUAUUAUCCAUUUUUGACAAAGAUAUUCCCAGAAGCAUAAGAUAUAGUCUAAUAAGUUCAUAGAAAAACUAUUUAAUAGAAAACUCUUACCGUUGAUACUAGAAGUACCCCAACAACUUCUUACCACUGAUAUCAGAAGUACCCUAACAACUUCUUACCAUUAAUACCAGAAUUACCCUAACAACUUCUUACCAUUAAUACCAGAACUACCCUAACAACUUCUUACCAUUAAUACCAGAACUACCCUAACAACUUCUUACCAUUAAUACCAGAAUUACCCUAACAACUUCUUACCAUUAAUACCAGAACUACCCUAACAACUUCUUACCAUUAAUACCAGAACUACCCUAACAACUUCUUACCAUUAAUACCAGAACUACCCUAACAACUUCUUCCCACUGAUACCAGAACUACCCUAACAACUCAUCACUGAUACCAGAAGUAACCUAACUAAUCCUGAACGUAAAUUUAUUAGAUAGCACGGCUCUAUAAAUUAAUUCUGAAUUACUUAGUAGCGUGCUUGACGGAAAGCAACAGUUGUCAUAUGUUAUUGCAAUGGAUUGUUGGGCGGUUUCUUUAGAUUAUUCGGUAAAAUUGAAUAAAGCAAAGUGCAAUCGGCUUAACCAUAUCGAAACUCCUACAGUUUAGCCUAACUAGUAUUCAUUGGUAAGCCUAAGUCCAAAGUAAAUGCUAAUCCAACAAUUUCACUUACUUGACAUCUGCUCUCGUAUCUCUAGUACUUCGUCGAAACACAAAAUCAACACUCACAAAACUGAACUAACUGAGCUGAUAGUAACAGACAAACUAGUUAAAAACUCACUAACUUCAUAACUAGUCAUCACGUGACAGAUUCACUAACCAAUAAUCGUCUACUCUAGCUUUUAUUCUCCUUUAUAUGGCUAAAUAUUUUCAUAAACUUUCAGUAAGUUUCUACUCAAUAAGCCACACGCGACGUCAAACUCCCCCUGGCCAACAACAAUACAAGUGUCCAAACUGAAAUCAAAACAUAUCCUACAACAAUAUUGUUGUCUAAUACUUUAAGAGUAGGCAAUAUCAAAGUUGUUUUUGGUCAUCUUAAACAAUAAAACUUAUUAAACACUUAAGCAAUAAAUCAGACAUUUGUCUAUUCUUAACUGGAAGGAAGGUCGCAUUAUGUUUAGCUCUACAGGAUGUCUGCUAAGACGACUAUUCACAACUAAUUUUACUUGCUUCUUUCAUUAGAAAAAUUUAUAAAAAUAACUAAUAACUGGUCAAUAAUGUAAGAUCUCUUCAUUCCUAAUCUGGAGUCGAUAAACUAGAGAGCUCUAUUCGUCCCUAAUCUUGAAUUGAUAAACUAGAGAGAAAAUAGCUGGUCGACAACUUAAGCUCUCUUCGUCCCUGAUCUUUAAUCGAUAAACGAGAGAGAAAAUAACUAGACAACAACUUAAGCUCUCUUCGUCCCUAAUCUUUAAUCGAUAAACUAGAGAGAAAAUAACUAGACAACAACUUAAGCUCUCUUCGUCCCUAAUCUUUAAUCGAUAAACUAGAGAGAAAAUAACUAGACAACAACUUAAGCUCUCUUCGUCCCUAAUCUUGAUUCGAGAAACUAGAGAGAAAACGAUGCCAUAAACGAUGGCAACAUAGUAAUUAUCACAUUACGUUGACAAUGCCAUAAACGAUGGCAACAUAGUAAUUAUCACAUUUCGUUGACAAUACCAUAAACGAUGGCAACAUAGUAAUUAUCACAUUUCGUUGACAAUACCAUAAACGAUGGCAACAUAGUAAUUAUUGCAUUUCGUUGACAAUACCAUAAACGAUGGCAACAUAGUAAUUAUUGCAUUUCGUUGGCAGCACUAGAAUUCUUACUCAGUGCUGUAAACAAAAGAAGAAAAAGUUAUGAAGAAUAAAAACAUUUUGAAGGUAAAAGAAGCAUAGAUACAGAAAAUAAUGAAUAAAUGUUGAAUACUUAUAAUACAGACUAUUACCUUAAGCUACAUAUGGAAAUAUUGGAGCACUUUCCCCGUUUAUUUAUUGCAUGAAUUGGUUAUUGCUCUUCUAUAUGGUGCAAUGUAUAAAACUCAUUGCAUAUUUUGAGGUCCAGAUAGUCAAUUUCUUUUUAGGUUAACGUAUGUAUAUACACAUACAAAGCAGUCAGUAAUAAAUACCGAAAUGGCUUAAAAACGUGCGUUUAACAUUCACCUGACGUCACUUACUGGUCCAAGAACUUUUCAGUUUCCUUUCAAAUUUGCAUGAACACGAAUCAGUUAAGUCUCCAAACUCUCUCUCCACAACAGUUAUUCAUUUUAUACGAGUUAUGUAAUACAUGUUUUACAUAACAUGCCAUUUCGAUGUCACAAUAUUAGUUCGAAUUACACUAAGCAUAGGGAAUAUUUCAAUGAAUAUGGAACAAAAACCUUGUCUGUUAAAUAUCUUCUGUUUUAUUAUUUCUGUAUUUUACCAACGUAAUAAAAGCGAGAUUUUCUCAUACAUAUACAACUGUUUUUUUUAUAUAAACAGAGUUUUGAAACAGCACGACCGUGUUUGAAGUUAAAAAUUAAAACUACAGAUCUCUUCAGAAUCGUCGUACAACAGAUACAGUAUAUACAGCAGAAGUUCUGAUCAAAAGUUUGUUAACGAUAUAGAUCAGAACUAAAAAUAUAAGUAGCUAACAAGUCAAUUCUGUAUAAUAAAUUUACGAGUAAAAAACUAAGCCCUACAAGGGUUGGAAUGCCUUCCUGCUAUUACUCACUUUAUCGGUCGUAAUCCCAAUAAUAUCCCACGAAGUGUGGCCAGCUUAGGACAGUUAGGAUAUAGUUCUAAAUCCAAAUUAACAAUUAAUAACUGAACCUGUUGGGGCUGAUGAACCCUGAUACAUAACUGAAAAUGUACAGUCCUAAAUCCAAAUUAAGAACAAAUAAUUUAACCUGUUGAGGCUGAUGAACCCUGAUACAUAACUGAAGAUGUAUAAUCAUAAAUCGAAAUUAAGAACAAACAAUUUAACCUGGUGGGUCUGAUGAACCCUGAUACAGAACUGAAGAUGUAUAGUCCUAAAUCUAAAUUAGGAACAAACAAUUUAGCCAAAAAGAAGAGCAACAAAGUACAUUUUGUUUCUAAAUAUCCGUUUUG